AAAAAAAUAAAUAAGAGAACAACUGACCUGUCUGACCUCUGAAAUGAUGAAACAAGGUUCCACACACGUUAUUCGAAAAUAUGGCAGCUCAAUUUAUAAUUUGGAAAUCAAAAAAAAUUAAAAAAACAAAAAGCAAAAAUUCCGUUUCCGGGAAUCGAACCCGGGUGAAAGCCAGAUAUCCUAACCGACAACGGAUUGAUGUUUGGUAUCGUCUUAAAACUUUAAUAGGCAAACAACAGAUACUUCUCUUCUCCAGAUUAGAGAGAACUUUCUAUAAUGACAACUUUUAACAUAAUUUAUGUUUCAG
rnacentral:lncRNA from 1 species